rnacentral:misc_RNA from 1 species
UUAAGUUCAGCGGGUAUCCCUACCUGAUCCGAGGUCAAGACGGUGAGAGGAGCUUGCUGGAUGCCGGGGCCGCCGUCGACUCGCCAGACGCAAUGUGCUGCGGGCGGGUCGGACGGCCUGGGCUGCCAAUGUCUUUGGGGCGAGUCCACGCGCGGAGCGCGGGACAGACGCCCAACACCAAGCAGUGAAGCUUGAGCCUU